rnacentral:rRNA from 1 species
AUGAACGCUAGCUACAGGCUUAACACAUGCAAGUCGAGGGGCAGCAUGGUCUUAGCUUGCUAAGGCCGAUGGCGACCGGCGCACGGGUGAGUAACACGUAUCCAACCUGCCGUCUACUCUUGGACAGCCUUCUGAAAGGAAGAUUAAUACAAGAUGGCAUCAUGAGUCCGCAUGUUCACAUGAUUAAAGGUAUUCCGGUAGACGAUGGGGAUGCGUUCCAUUAGAUAGUAGGCGGGGUAACGGCCCACCUAGUCUUCGAUGGAUAGGGGUUCUGAGAGGAAGGUCCCCCACAUUGGAACUGAGACACGGUCCAAACUCCUACGGGAGGCAGCAGUGAGGAAUAUUGGUCAAUGGGCGAGAGCCUGAACCAGCCAAGUAGCGUGAAGGAUGACUGCCCUAUGGGUUGUAAACUUCUUUUAUAAAGGAAUAAAGUCGGGUAUGCAUACCCGUUUGCAUGUACUUUAUGAAUAAGGAUCGGCUAACUCCGUGCCAGCAGCCGCGGUAAUACGGAGGAUCCGAGCGUUAUCCGGAUUUAUUGGGUUUAAAGGGAGCGUAGAUGGAUGUUUAAGUCAGUUGUGAAAGUUUGCGGCUCAACCGUAAAAUUGCAGUUGAUACUGGAUAUCUUGAGUGCAGUUGAGGCAGGCGGAAUUCGUGGUGUAGCGGUGAAAUGCUUAGAUAUCACGAAGAACUCCGAUUGCGAAGGCAGCCUGCUAAGCUGCAACUGACAUUGAGGCUCGAAAGUGUGGGUAUCAAACAGGAUUAGAUACCCUGGUAGUCCACACGGUAAACGAUGAAUACUCGCUGUUUGCGAUAUACAGCAAGCGGCCAAGCGAAAGCGUUAAGUAUUCCACCUGGGGAGUACGCCGGCAACGGUGAAACUCAAAGGAAUUGACGGGGGCCCGCACAAGCGGAGGAACAUGUGGUUUAAUUCGAUGAUACGCGAGGAACCUUACCCGGGCUUAAAUUGCAGAUGAAUUACGGUGAAAGCCGUAAGCCGCAAGGCAUCUGUGAAGGUGCUGCAUGGUUGUCGUCAGCUCGUGCCGUGAGGUGUCGGCUUAAGUGCCAUAACGAGCGCAACCCUUGUUGUCAGUUACUAACAGGUUCCGCUGAGGACUCUGACAAGACUGCCAUCGUAAGAUGUGAGGAAGGUGGGGAUGACGUCAAAUCAGCACGGCCCUUACGUCCGGGGCUACACACGUGUUACAAUGGGGGGGUACAGAGGGCCGCUACCACGCGAGUGGAUGACAAUCCCAAAAACCUCUCUCAGUUCGGACUGGAGUCUGCAACCCGACUCCACGAAGCUGGAUUCGCUAGUAAUCGCGCAUCAGCCACGGCGCGGUGAAUACGUUCCCGGGCCUUGUACACACCGCCCGUCAAGCCAUGGGAGCCGGGGGUACCUGAAGUGCGUAACCGCGAGGAGCGCCCUAGGGUAAAACUGGUGACUGGGGCU